AUUGAACGCUGGCGGCAUGCUUUACACAUGCAAGUCGAACGGUAACAGGCCGCAAGGUGCUGACGAGUGGCGAACGGGUGAGUAAUGCAUCGGAACGUGCCCAGUCGUGGGGGAUAACGCAGCGAAAGCUGCGCUAAUACCGCAUACGAUCUAUGGAUGAAAGCGGGGGACCGAAAGGCCUCGCGCGAUUGGAGCGGCCGAUGUCAGAUUAGGUAGUUGGUGGGGUAAAGGCUCACCAAGCCAACGAUCUGUAGCUGGUCUGAGAGGACGACCAGCCACGCUGGGACUGAGACACGGCCCAGACUCCUACGGGAGGCAGCAGUGGGGAAUUUUGGACAAUGGGGGCAACCCUGAUCCAGCCAUGCCGCGUGCGGGAAGAAGGCCUUCGGGUUGUAAACCGCUUUUGUCAGGGAAGAAACGCUCUGGGCUAAUACCCCGGGGUAAUGACGGUACCUGAAGAAUAAGCACCGGCUAACUACGUGCCAGCCGCCGCAGUAACAC
rnacentral:rRNA from 1 species